rnacentral:rRNA from 1 species
AGUGAACGCUGGCGGUAGGCCUAACACAUGCAAGUCGAACGGCAGCACAGUAAGAGCUUGCUCUUACAGGUGGCGAGUGGCGGACGGGUGAGGAAUACCUCGGAAUCUACUUUUUCGUGGGGGAUAACGCAGGGAAACUUACGCUAAUACCGCAUACGACCUACGGGUGAAAGCAGGGGAUCUUCGGACCUUGCGCGAUUGAAUGAGCCGAUGUCGGAUUAGCUAGUUGGCGGGGUAAAGGCCCACCAAGGCGACGAUCCGUAGCUGGUCUGAGAGGAUGAUCAGCCACACUGGAACUGAGACACGGUCCAGACUCCUACGGGAGGCAGCAGUGGGGAAUAUUGGACAAUGGGCGCAAGCCUGAUCCAGCCAUACCGCGUGGGUGAAGAAGGCCUUCGGGUUGUAAAGCCCUUUUGUUGGGAAAGAAAAGCAGCAGGUUAAUACCCCGCUGUUCUGACGGUACCCAAAGAAUAAGCACCGGCUAACUUCGUG